UACGUAGGGGGCUAGCGUUGUCCGGAAUCAUUGGGCGUAAAGAGCGUGUAGGCGGCUUUACAGGUCCGUUGUGAAAACUCGAGGCUCAACCUCGAGACGCCGGUGGAAACCGUAAAGCUAGAGUCCGGAAGAGGAGAGUGGAAUUCCUGGUGUAGCGGUGAAAUGCGCAGAUAUCAGGAAGAACACCCGUGGCGAAGGCGGCUCUCUGGGACGGUACUGACGCUGAGACGCGAAAGCGUGGGGAGCAAACAGG
rnacentral:rRNA from 1 species